AGUUGUCUUUAUCAUUGUGAUUAAAUAUUAUUAUUUUGAGACUCCCGCGCUCCUGCCUUGCCUCCCUGCUUCCCUGCAAUUGGGUCCACCAUGUUCUUGCCUUGCGUUCCUCUCCUUCGCCCUAACCACAUACGUGACCGAACGAACCGACCAGAACAGGACCCAGUGGGAAGUACAUGGCGUCACCCUGGACACCACCAAACUGCCUCCCACCGUCCUCAGCCUGCCAUCCAUACCUACCCUCCUCCAGUAAGACCUAUCGUUCAGUCUUUUCUGUCCUUUUCAUCGGGUCCCCCCACUUGUCCUAGUUAUUCAUCAUGCCCUACUAUUUUACAUCCACAUGUUUCUUUAGAUUCUGAUUUUUCUGAUUGUGAAGAUGGCCCGAUUUAGUUAACCUGUCUGAUUCUUACUCUGACACGGACUUAGAUUUUUCUGGUUCCUUCCCUAGUUUAUCCCGUCCUCGUCAGUUUUUGUCAUCUCUCCCCGUUUCCAACCGCAGUGAGUCCAAAUCCUUUCCCUCAGACCUUUUCUUGGGCACCCGUUUGGCCAUCUACCCGGGACCGCCGUGUGGUGGCCAACGGAGGCGCCCAAGUAAAGGUCAAAUUUUGCCCUUGUUUUUUUUCCCCCCUGUUCACAAGUCACUUAAUUUUUCACCUGUUCCCACACGUUGUUCCACGGCUCCAAUUAACCACGUCUAGUCAAACAUGCCCCCAAGCCACCAUGUUCAGUACCAGCCAUUUUUCCUAGUUCACCUUCCUGAGACCUUGUGGACUCUGCCACUCCCGUACCCUUUACUCCCUAACCUCAAUGGCGGCAGGCUGAGGAAGCGACUGCAGGCUCCCGUUCCGGCUCCUCGGCAGCUACGGCAGGCUCCCGUUCCGGCUCCUCGGCAGCUGCGGCAGGCUCCCGUUCCGGCUCCUCGGCAGCUGCGGCAGGCUCCCGUUCCGGCUCCUCGGCAGCUGCGGCAGGCUCCCGUUCCGGCUCCUCGGCAGCUGCGGCAGGCUCCCGUUCCGGCUCCUCGGCAGCUGCGCCAGGCUCCCGUUCCGGCUCCGGCGGCGCUCGUCCAGCGGUCGACCAAUCAGCUCUCUCCAGCCACUCAUGUCUUGUCCAGCAAUCAGCACCACCUUGGCCGCCCACCUGUCCUCUAUCAGCACUCAUCACUGCCUGCAUAAAAGCCUGCCGGAUCCAGGAAACCAUCGCCAGAGUAUUAACACGUUGUGUGCUCCUCCCGUGCCCACCUCCUAGCCGUCCGCUCCAGCCACGCUGCCAAGCUACCCCACCUGCUCACGUCCCAGCUUCCUGCUCGCUCCUUGUCCAGACGGUCCACCAUUUUGCCUUGGAUAUCCUUACAUUGAGC